rnacentral:rRNA from 1 species
GACGAACCGUGCGAACGUUAUUCGGAAUCACUGGGCUUAAAGCGCGUGUAGGCGGAAGGGCACGUCCGACGCUGAAAUCCCCCGGCUCAACCGGGGAAGUGGCGCGGAUACGACUCUUCUGGAGGGGCGUAGGGGGACCUGGAACUUCCGGUGGAGCGGUGAAAUGCGUUGAGAUCGGAAGGAACGCCCGUGGCGAAAGCGAGGUCCUGGACGCUUACUGACGCUGAGACGCGAAAGCCAGGGGAGCGAACGGG